CAGUCGCCACGGUAAUACAGAGGGUGCGAGGGUUAAUCGGAUUUACUGGGCGUAAAGCGUGCGUAGGCGGCUUUUUAAGUCGGAUGUGAAAUCCCUGAGCUUAACUUAGGAAUUGCAUUCGAUACUGGGAAGCUAGAGUAUGGGAGAGGAUGGUAGAAUUCCAGGUGUAGCGGUGAAAUGCGUAGAGAUCUGGAGGAAUACCGAUGGCGAAGGCAGCCAUCUGGCCUAAUACUGACGCUGAGGUACGAAAGCAUGGGGAGCAAACAGGAUUAGAUACCCGUGUAGUCCCUGUCUCUUAUAC
rnacentral:rRNA from 1 species